UACAGAGGGUGCGAGCGUUAAUCGGAAUUACUGGGCGUAAAGCGUGCGUAGACGGCUAUCUAAGUCGGGUGUGAAAGCCCCGGGCUCAACCUGGGAAUUGCAUUCGAGACUGAAUAGCUAGGGUACGGUAGAGGGAAGCGGAAUUUCCGGUGUAGCGGUGAAAUGCGUAGAUAUCAGGAGGAACACCGGUGGCGAAGGCGGGUCUCUGGGCCGAUACUGACGCUGAGGAGCGAAAGCGUGGGGAGCGAACAGG
rnacentral:rRNA from 1 species